rnacentral:rRNA from 1 species
UACGUAGGGUGCGAGCGUUGUCCGGAUUUAUUGGGCGUAAAGAGCUCGUAGGCGGCUCGUCGCGUCGGCUGUGAAAACCCGCGGCUUAACUGUGGGCUUGCAGCUGAUACGGGCGGGCUAGAGUUCGGUAGGGGAGACUGGAAUUCCUGGUGUAGCGGUGAAAUGCGCAGAUAUCAGGAGGAACACCGGUGGCGAAGGCGGCACUCUGGACCGUAACUGACGCUGAGACACGAAAGCGUGGGUAGCAAACAGG